GUUUUUCUUCCGUGUCCGCCCCUUCAUGUAGCCUACUGUCAAAAAUGCCGAAACGUUGCGUGGCGGCUGGCUGUUCUAAUUACCCGAGUGAACACAUCUCACUGUUCUCAUUCCCAAAGGAUGAAGAGCUUCGGAACCAGUGGACGAAGCAGGUCCAGAGAACCAGAGGCAGCUGGCUUCCCACUGCGUCCUCUGUUCUCUGCAGCGAGCAUUUCCCUGCGCACUGCUUCGAGGAGGCGCCCGGAUUAAAGGAGUCUUUCGGUUUGAAAGUGCGUUACAGACGGGUUAUCAAACCGACUGCUGUCCCUUCCAUUUUCACAGCUGAAGACGGUACCAGCGGAACCAAACAGCACAGAGCAGCUCCAGUUCCCAGACACUCCAGGAAAAGAGUAAGUUACUGUCGAUCCGGUUGGGUUCGGGAGGUUCGAGUAUAAAAUCAGAUGUUUUCAAAGAGUAGCAGAACUUCAGCUUAUUUUUACUGAAAUGUGAGUGAAAAUGAGUUAUAAAGCAUUAUAUUUCAGUACUAUCUUUAAGGCUUAAAUAAAAUACAAACUUAAAAAUAUCAUUAAUAAAUUCAUGCAGAAGAACGCAAAGGGGGCGGGACUUCCGGCGGAAGUAAACAAUAAGCUUUAGCUUCUAGGCGAUCUUCUGCAUAUCGCAGAUUUUUGUAGUAACAACAUCUUCGGUUUGUAAAACCCAAAGACAGCAGGUGUGCCUCCUCUCCAGAUCCACUUACCUGUCUAGUGGUGGCGGUGAUUCAUUUAAAUUGAGGUUCCAACCGCCACUAAAAUCAAAAGAAGAAGAAGACUACAGGUUUUUCACAGCAGUAUGUCUGCUAAUCACGCUGCCAUAACUUCAAAGAGGAGCUCCUUUCUUGAUCAAAAGAUGCCAAAUGUUAAAAUAAAAGGGGAACAGGAGGAACUAGAACCGAAGAAGAUCACUGAGACUAAAGAGGAACAAGAACCAACCAAAGAACACGAUGAACUGUGGAUCUAUGAGGAUGAAGGUCAGAUGGAGACUUCUGAAAAUAUAUUCCACAAUGAACCAGAACAACGGCUGAUUGUAGCAAUGAAGAAGGAACCGGAUCCAAUGCAGAUCAAACAGGAGCCAGAACCAGAACAAAUGAAAGAGGAACCAGAACCUUUGCUAAUUAAACAGAAACCAGAACCUGUGGAGAUUAAAGUGGAACCAUCUCUGUACUACUGUACAGAUAGUAAUGGAACUAGAACCUUUAGUAGAGGAAUCAGAACCUGUAUUGAAGAAAUGGAAAGGUCUUUCCAGUAAUGCUCAAACCAAACCAAAAAAAGUUCCUCUCUGCACAAGGCAGCAAACCUAAGAAACAACAGCAGGAGAACAGGAACCAGGAAGCCUCCGGAGCAAAUGGAGGCUCCGGAGCUGAACAUCAGCUCGCCCAUUAACAAGGUAGAGAUUUCAAAACCAAAAACUCGUAGAACAAAUCGGCACACUUGUGAAAUAUGUGGUAAAUGUUACCGCUUGCCCAGCGAUUUGACCGACCACUUAACUCAUUCAGGUGAGAGGCCUUUUUGCUGUAAAUUGUAUGGUAAACACUUUAAUGAAACGACUCAAUUGGCUCAUCACAUAAAAAUUCACACAAGCGAGAAGCUUUGUAAACUGCGUGGUAAAUCGUUCCAGUUAUUUGGCUCCUCUCAGUGGGAAACGGUGAUUUCCUUCCUAUAGAUUUUAAAACUUUCCUCCAACUGUUUUCAUUGAGUGAUCUGCCUUGUUUCCACUUCUUUCCCAUUGAUUAAUAAACCUGAUUUAAGUGUUGAGGCUUCACGUAAACCUCGUAUUCAACCAGCAACAAAAGACCAGAAGUAUGACUCAUGUUUAAAAUCAUCUAUAAACAUUUUAAAUCAAGCAGAAUUAAACUGUUUACAGAACAAUUACAUCUCUUAGCAAUCUUUGUCUAUUUCCAUGUUUCUCACCCAGUUACAAAGUUUUCAGUUUGAGAUCGGUUCCAUUGCCAUGAACGUGUUGAAGAAAAUUUUAUUCUAGUUACUUUAACGAUAAAAAGGGAUAUAUUUCUAAAAUUUGACCAAUCAAAACUUGAGUUUUUCCGGCCCUAUGUUAUUACACACCAGACUCACGCUUGUGUUCUGUUUGUUUCACCUCUUAGGUUGUUUGUUUUUUGAAUCCAACAAAAAGUUUUAUAGUGUAGAGGAAGCAUUUCAGAUGAUCCGUGAAGACUCGGGGACAGAAGUGUGUCCAGGAUUCCUCGUCUGAAGAUGAGGACCUCGUUUUUCCGGCUCACAAUGAUGAAGAUUUGGAGUUUGAAGGGCGUCAACUUGAGAGUGAUGACAGAGGUGAUGAGCCACCGAGGAAAGUCUUGAGCUCUGCCUCAUAUGAGCCUGAGAGGAGGAAUACCAACAGAAGA